AGCAGCCGCGGUAAUUCCAGCUCCAAUAGCGUAUAUUAAAGUUGUUGCAGUUAAAAAGCUCGUAGUUGAAUUUCGGGGUUAGUAGAUUGGUCAUGCCUCUGGUAUGUACUGGUCUCACUGAUUCCUCCUUCCUGAUGAACCUUAAUGCCAUUAAUUUGGUGUUUUGGGGAAUUUGGACUGUUACUUUGUAAAAAUUAGAGUGUUUAAAGCAAGCUAACGCUUGAAUACAUUAGCAUGGAAUAAUGAAAUAGGACGUUCGAUCCUAUUUUGUUGGUUUCUAGGAUUGACGUAGUGAUUAAUAGGGAUAGUUGGGGGCAUUAGUGUUCAAUUGUCAGAGGUGAAAUUCUUGGAUUUAUUGAAGACUAACUACUGCGAAAGCAUUUGCCAAGGAUGUUUUCAUUAAUCAAGAACGAAAGUUAGGGGAUCGAAGACGAUCAGAUACCGUCGUAGUCUUAACCAUAAACUAUGCCGACUAGGGAUCGGAUGAUGUUAAUUUUUUAAUGACUCA
rnacentral:rRNA from 1 species